ensembl:lncRNA
UUCUUCUACUCUUCUUUUCUUUCUUCACUCUUCUUUCCUUCUUCCACUCUUCUUUCCUUUCUUCUUUCCUUAUUUCUUUUCUUCUUCCACUCUUCUUUUCUUUCUUCACUCUUCUUUCCUUUCUUCUUUCCUUCUUUCACUCUUCUUUCUUUUCUUCUUUCCUUUCUUCACUCUUCUUUCCUUUAUUCUUUCCUUCUUCCAGUCUUUAUUCCUAUCUUCACUCUUCUUUCUUUUCUUCUUUCCUUCUUCCUCUCUUCUUUCCUUCUUUUACUCUUCUUUCCUUUCUUCUUUCCUUCUUUCACUCUUCUUACUUUUCUUCUUCCUUUCUUAACUUUUGCAUUUCAUGCACUGGUAUUUCCUUCAGGAAAUGCAUUUUCUAGUUCUUCUUCUACUUCUUAUUAUUCUUUUUACCGACUUCUGCGCUUAAUUCAGCUCGAACCGCUUAACUUAGAAACUCCGUUCAAACUUUGGCGUGUAGGUCUUCUAAACGACACUUAUGCUAUGUAUUUUUCAUUUGUCUAAACGUUAUACUUUUUAAGAUAUUAAAUAAAAACGAAUACAAAUUUUCCCAUUGACUUACAUUGGGCCAUUAUGACAUCAUAAUAGGGUCAUUAAACUGGCUUGCACCUGUGCUUCACUGACACCUGCGCCAAGGUUCCAAGGCUCCUCUUCUC